AUUGAACGCUGGCGGCAGGCCUAACACAUGCAAGUCGAGCGGAGCGGCGGACGGGUGAGUAAUGCCUAGGAAUCUGCCUGGUAGUGGGGGAUAACGUACGGAAACGGGCGCUAAUACCGCAUACUAUCAGAUGAGCCUAGGUCGGAUUAGCUAGUUGGUGGGGUAAAGGCCUACAAAGGCGACGAUCCGUAACUGGUCUGAGAGGAUGAUCAGUCAAACAGGAAAUGAGACACGGUACAGACUCCUACGGUAGGCAGCAGUGGGGAAGAUUGGCCAAUGGGCGAAAGCCUGAUCCAGCCAUGCCGGAUGUGUGAAGAAGGUCUUCGGAUUGUAAAGCACUUUAAGUUGGGAGGCGUUACCAACAGAGUAAGAACCGGCUAACGUCGUGCCAGCGGCGGCGGUAAUUG
rnacentral:rRNA from 1 species